GGCCUAACACAUGCAAGUCGCACGAGAAAAGGGGCUUCGGCCCCCCAGUAAAGUGGCGGACGGGUGAGUAACACGUGGAUAAUCUACCUCUAAGUGGGGGAUAACUGUCCGAAAGGAUAGCUAAUACCGCAUACGUCUUUCGGGUCACAUGACCUGGGAGGGAAAGCCGGCCACUUCAUGAAAGCUGGCGCUGAGAGAGGAGUCCGCGGCCCAUCAGCUAGUUGGUAGGGUAAUGGCCUACCAAGGCUUAGACGGGUAGCUGGUCUGAGAGGAUGAUCAGCCACACUGGGACUGAGACACGGCCCAGACUCCUACGGGAGGCAGCAGUGGGGAAUAUUGGGCAAUGGGCGCAAGCCUGACCCAGCCACGCCGCGUGAGUGAUGAAGGCCUUCGGGUCGUAAAGCUCUGUGGGGAGGGACGAAAAAACAUUGGCUAAUAUCCAAUGGACUG
rnacentral:rRNA from 1 species